GAACGAACGCUGGCGGCAGGCCUAACACAUGCAAGUCGAACGCUGUAGCAAUACGAGAGUGGCAGACGGGUGAGUAACGCGUGGGAACCUUCCCAGUGGUGCGGAAUAGCUCAGGGAAACUCGAGGUAAUACCGCAUAAGCCCCUAGGGGAAGAUUAUCGCCAUUGGNUGGCCCGCGUCGGAUUAGCUAGUUGGUGAGGUAAUGGCUCAACCAAGG
rnacentral:rRNA from 1 species